AGUGAACGCUGGCGGUAGGCCUAACACAUGCAAGUCGAACGGCAGCACAGUAAGAGCUUGCUCUUACGGGUGGCGAGUGGCGGACGGGUGAGGAAUACAUCGGAAUCUACUUUUUCGUGGGGGAUAACGUAGGGAAACUUACGCUAAUACCGCAUACGACCUACGGGUGAAAGCAGGGGAUCUUCGGACCUUGCGCGAUUGAAUGAGCCGAUGUCGGAUUAGCUAGUUGGCGGGGUAAAGGCCCACCAAGGCGACGAUCCGUAGCUGGUCUGAGAGGAUGAUCAGCCACACUGGAACUGAGACACGGUCCAGACUACUACGGGAGGCAGCAGUGGGGAAUAUUGGACAAUGGGAGCAAGCCUGAUCCAGCCAUACCGCGUGGGUGAAGAAGGCCUUCGGGUUGUAAAGCCCUUUUGUUGGGAAAGAAAAGCAGCAGGUUAAUACCCCGCUGUUCUGACGGUACCCAAAGAAUAAGCACCGGCUAACUUCGUG
rnacentral:rRNA from 1 species